GAGGAGCCUGCGUCCUAUCAGCUAGUUGGUGAGGUAAAAGCUUACCAAGGCAAUGACGGGUAGCUGGACUGAGAGGUCGAUCAGCCACAACUGCACUGAGACACGGGCAGUACACCUACGGGUGGCAGCAACCAGGAAUAUUGGGCAAUGGGCGAAAGUCUGACCCAGCGACGCCGCGUGGAGGAAGAAGGCCUUCGGGUUGUAAACUCCUUUUGCCAAGCUUUUCACAGCUUGGAGAAUAAGCCCCUACUAACUACGUGCCAGAAGUCUCGGUGAUGCGUAGGGGGCAAGCGUUAUCCGGAUUUAUUGGGCGUAAAGUGUGCGUAGGCGUUUUAUCAAGUCUCUACUUAAAUACCAAGGCUUACCCUUGGAGCUGGUAGGGAUACUGAUAGAAUUGAGGAUUGACAGGGGUGCUGGAACAGGUAGUGUAGCAGUGAAAUGCGUUGAUAUUACCUGG
rnacentral:rRNA from 1 species